ensembl:lncRNA
GUUGAACCAGCGCCACAGCAGCAACCUGGGCUGCUGCAGUGACAACACAGGAUCUUUAACCCACUGCACCAGAGGAAACCCCUUAUUUGUGUGAUUUUGUGAUUCAUGUUCAUUUCUCCUACUGGACCAUAUUUGCCAUGAACAUAAGGCUGUGUCUUUUUUUCCUUUGCUAUUUUAUCUCUUGUAGGCACUUGAUAAAUAUUUGUUGAAUAGAAUAAUUGUAAAUAGACUGACCCCCCGGAACUGUGAUUAUGCCUGACUUUGGGAUUAGAAGAAUCUGAUAACUCUUUUUUCUGGAUUGCACUUCCUCAUCCUAAAGAAUGACAAAAAAUUUGCACUCCAUCUAGGCCUCUCACCCAGAGGGAACGGAUUUCUAUUCCAAAAAUACAGAGGCGUGAGCCUCAAGUCCGCAUCUUCUAAAACAAGCCAUUAAAGCAAACAAAGAAGUUGAUGUUCUAUAAGAUAUAUUUAAUCAGAUGGCUGCUGCCUGCACAUCCACAGAGCAACUCACGUUCAAAUGAAUUUCCGAAUAAGAUAAUGACAGGACUAAGCUUCCUGAUAUCUUGUUGGAGGAGAUCAUCAAGAGACCAUGACCACUGGUUGACCUGCACCUGGAUCUGGAUGAUCAGAGACUCCCCACCCACAUCUCAUCCUUGGAACCCACGUUCUACCCCCUGUCCCAUGGUGGGAGCCAUUUUCAAGGGCAUGGCCUUGAGCGAGCAAUGUGUUGUUAGAGCCAUCUGGACAGUGUAUGGAACUGAUGGUUCACAUUGAGGCCUCUAUAUAGACUUUAUAUAAACUAUACAAACCUCGGUAUAAAGAUUCCCACAGCCUUGUAAAUUAACUAUACUUCAAUAAGACUUACAAAAUUAAAAACAGGAAAAAAAAUAUUUGUUAGGACUUCCCAUUGCAGCUCAGCAGGUUAAGAACCUGACCUGACUUAGUGUCCAUGAGGAUGCAGGUUUGAUCCUUUGCCGUGCCCAUUGAGUUAAGAAUCCAUUGUCAAAAGCUGUGGCCUAGGUCACAGAGGAGGCUUGGAUCCAGCGUUGCCAUGGCUGUGAUAAAGAACUAUAGCUGCAGCUCCCAUUUGACCCUAGCCUGGGAACUUCCAUAUACUGCAGGUGCAGCCAUAAAAAGCAAAACAAAACAAAACAAAACAAAACUUUUUCCUUAGUUUCCUUCUAGUUUGAGCCUGCUAAAGUCAGUGAAAAAGGUCAUUAUUGGAAAACAAGAGUAAAAAGAUAAGAGAGAGGGAAAGAUCAGGAAUCAAACCAGUGUUUCUAGUCUAUGAAUUUAGAAAAACAAAUUUUUCAUAUAAAAAUAGUUGUGUUGAGGUCAGUGUAAUGCCAAACAUCAAGUAAUUGCUUAUUACAUUUUCAUAUAUAUGUGAUUUAUAUGUACCUUUGCAGUAAAGCUAGAGUGAAAAGUUGUAUUUUUUUUUUUGGUAUAGUUUAGAGAAAGUGGGAAUAUAUGAUUUUUUGAUAAAGUAGCUCUGUUAUGCUUUGGAAAUUAGUUGCGGAUUUCAGCAAACCUGAUUCCCUGCUGUGUGAAAUGAGAAACCUGGAGAAGAAGAAAGAUCUGUCAGGAGAAUAAGUGAGCUCAACGCUUUGAUUAACAGACGGCCAGAUGUUAAAUUUAAUUGCUUCUAGAAAAAAAGAUUUUGCUUUCCAGUGUUAGUCUCACACUUCUUAAUGAUGGUGGACUUUUACAUGAGAAAGAAAGGAAAGGGUGUACAUGGAAAAACCUAAAUUUUAAGGAAACAUGUUCGUGGUAGAUAUUUAAAUUAUUGUUUACUAUUUGUUAAUAGAUUUUUACCAUAAAAUAUAUAGAACAUUCAGAACAUUUCCUUCAUACUCAGUUGUUAGAAGCAAAAAACUAAAGAUCAAAGUGAUGCCUCCAAAAUACCUUGUUUAAUACAAUUUCCUGAUUUCUCAAAGAAAUUUAAUAUCUUAAAUUUAUUUCCUUCAUCAUAGAAAGGGAGAGACCCUAUUUAUGGCCACAUAUAAUUUCUACAUAUAUAUAUUCAUAAAAAUAUGGUAUAUGAUAUUUCAUGUUGCAAACAUAUCUAUUUUUGAAUGAAUGUUUGCGACACUUCUAAAGCUGGAUCUGAGUUUUUCAUUGUAAAAAUCUUAGGAGAAUUACCCAUACAGAAACAUACUAACUCUACUCCAUUGUGUGAAUUUGUCACCACUUAUUUAUCAUUCUCUUUUUAAUGAGCAUUUAAAUUGGUCCCCUUUAAAAUUAUUAACCACGAGAACAUUCUUGUUUAUAUUCCAAGGUGAUGUGUUCUACACGUUUCCACUUUUUGGCAUAGCCCCAUGAUAAAUUCAGAAUGUGGAAACAAAAUAGAAUAUAGGUCAGAAGAAGAACCAAAUAGUAGGAUUAACCUUACUAAAUAUCAUUUUAUAAUAACGAGCCCAGAAAAAGCAACACCUGUAUAUAUUUGACAAGGGUGGUAGAACAUUAAAAGUAGUAGACAAUUUCAGGUUACUCAAUAAAUUAAGUCAGUUAUCCUUUGGAAGAAAUAAC